rnacentral:rRNA from 1 species
ACGCUCGACACCUACGGGAGGCUGCAGUGGGGAAUAUUGCACAAUGGGGGAAACCCUGAUGCAGCGACGCCGCGUGAGUGAAGAAGUAUUUCGGUAUGUAAAGCUCUAUCAGCAGGGAAGAAAAUGACGGUACCUGAGUAAGAAGCCCCGGCUAACUACGUGCUAGCAGCCGCGGUAAUCUGAGCGGGCUGGCAAGGC